AAUGACAGAACGAGUGCACUAUAGCACAUGCCCUCGCCACAAUCAGUGUAACAUAACUGCAGUAUAUUACUCUUGUAGAUACGAUUAUUAACAAUCAAAAGAUCAACCAACAACAACAGAAUCAAACAUUUAUAUACUAAUACACAAAUUAUGAAAUAGCUUCACAUUAACACAAAGUAUUAAGAAGGGAUCUACUACAGACAAGACAUACAACCAAUAAUUAAAUCUAGGCAUACAUUAUAACACAUUACAUUUAAUUAAAAUUCAGGGUUCUACAGUCACAUAAUUUCAAAAACACAAAUGAAACAUUAAUUUGUUCUUCAGAGAAUGCUGCUGACUUACUGUUACUGUACACAUUAGCUUGCUCAGCCUUGCAUUGCUUGCUGCAGCAAUUGAAGGUGUGGCUCAAAUUAAGCACCGCCUACUUCAUAGUUACACAAUGGACAGUUACUGGUAAAAAAAGCUUCAGUUUUCUACGCUUAUACACAGUUUAUGACACAAUAAUCAGGCUCUACUUGUUGUAUACAAACUUGAUAGUAAGAAUCUACAGUUUAAAAGA